GAUAGCAUAGUUGGUUAGAGCAUGGUGCUGAUAAUGCCAAGGUUGCAGGUUCAAUCCCCAUAAGUGAUAGCUGCA